rnacentral:rRNA from 1 species
GACGAACGCUGGCGGCGUGCCUAAUACAUGCAAGUUGAGCGCUGAAGGUUGGUACUUGUACCAACUGGAUGAGCAGCGAACGGGUGAGUAACGCGUGGGGAAUCUGCCUUUGAGCGGGGGACAACAUUUGGAAACGAAUGCUAAUACCGCAUAAAAACUUUAAACACAAGUUUUAAGUUUGAAAGAUGCAAUUGCAUCACUCAAAGAUGAUCCCGCGUUGUAUUAGCUAGUUGGUGAGGGAAGGGCUCACCAAGGCGAGGAUACAUAGCCGACCUGAGAGGGGGAUGGCCCACAUUGGAACUGAACAACGCCCCAAACUCCAAGGGAGGCAGCAGUAGGGAAUCUUCGGCAAUGGACGAAAGUCUGACCGAGCAACGCCGCGUGAGUGAAGAAGGUUUUCGGAUCGUAAAACUCUGUUGGUAGAGAAGAACGUUGGUGAGAGUGGAAAGCUCAUCAAGUGACGGUAACUACCCAGAAAGGGACGGCUAACUACGUG